UGCUCUGAGCUGGAUGGUCGAGUCCGGCCCCUCGUGUACACCCUCCGCUGCUGGGCUCAGGGUCGGGGGCUGUCAGGGAGUGGCCCCCUUCUCAGUAACUACGCCCUGACCUUGCUGGUGAUCUAUUUUCUUCAGACCAGGGACCCUCCUGUGUUGCCCACUGUGUCUGAGCUCACCCAGAAAGCAGGUACUCGGCCUGGCCUCCACCCUCCCCAUCUUGUUAGCUUCCUCUCUCUUCUUCAUCACACUUAGAUACACAAAGCAACUCUGGGAAUGAGAUCUCUCUUCCCCCACCCUCAAUCUCCCUGCUUCCAGACUGACUCUCACCUUAUUUACUUUCACAGGAGAGGGGGAACAGGUGGAAGUCGACGGCUGGGACUGCAGUUUCCCCAGGGAUGCCUCAAGACUGGAGCCCAGCACAAAUGUGGAGCCCCUCAGUGAGUUUGGGGAGCCUGGUAGAGGACUAGUAAUGAUAUUCAUCAACAGUAGGUAACAUAUAUCACACUAACUGUGUGCCAGGCAUGGUUCUCACAGAAAGCCUGUGAGAUACCUAAUAUUAUUACUGCCAUUUUACAGAUGAAGAAACCAUGUUUGGGAGCAAUUAAGUGACUUGCCCAAGGUUACACUGGCUAGCAAGGAGCAGCAGCAUCUGGGCAAGGACAUCAUGUGGGGGCAGGGAGAGAGGUUUGACCUCUUGUUUAUAGGGAUCAGAGAAGCCUAGCUUCCUGGGACUCUGCUGAGCCCCUUGGAAGGGAAAAAGAAAGUCCUGCUAAGGAAAUGGCUCUGGUGCAGGACCUGUAUCAGUUCUGGCCUCUAAGUGACCCCCCCUUUCCCCACUCUUCCUCCUCCUCCAGGUUCCCUGCUAGCCCAGUUCUUCUCCUGUGUAUCUUGCUGGGAUCUUCGUGGCUCCCUGCUCUCCCUGCGGGAGGGUCAGGCACUGCCUGUGGCAGGGGGCCUGCCUUCUAAUCUCUGGGAGGGUCUGCGCCUUGGCCCCCUGAAUCUCCAGGACCCUUUUGACCUGAGUCACAAUGUCGCAGCCAAUGUGACCAGCCGGGUGGCUGGGCGCCUACAGAAUUGCUGCCGAGCAGCAGCCAAUUACUGCCGAAGCCUCCAGUACCAGCGCCGUUCCUCCCGCGGUCGGGACUGGGGGCUGCUCCCCCUUCUGCAGCCCAGCUCCCCCAGCUCCCUGCUCUCUGCUACGCCGAUCCCUUUACCCCCUGCACCGUUCACCCAGCUCACUGCUGCCCUGGUGCAGGUAUUCAGGGAAGCACUGGGGUGCCAUAUAGAACAGGGAACCAAGAGACCGCGGUCAGAAGGAGGUGGAACUGGGGAGUCCUCUCAGGGAGGGACAAGCAAAAGACUCAAAGUAGAUGGACAGAAAAACUGCUGUGAGGAGGGGAAAGAGGAGCAGCAGGGAUGUGCAGGGGACGGUGGGGAAGACAGGGUAGAAGAGAUGGUUAUAGAAGUUGGAGAGAUGGUGCAGGACUGGGCCAUGCAGAGCCCUGGGCAGCCAGGGGACCUGCCCCUGACCACUGGGAAGCAUGGAGCCCCUGGAGAAGAGAGGCAGCCCAGCCAUGCAGCCCUGGCAGAGCGGGGGCCCAAGGGACAUGAGGCAGCCCAAGGAGGGUCUCAGGGUGAGGCAGGGAAGGGGGCAUCCCUGCCCUCAGUGAGCUGGCGCUGUGCCUUGUGGCACCGAGUGUGGCAAGGGCGGCGGCGAGCCCGUAGACGCUUGCAGCAGCAAACCAAGGAAGGAGCUGGAGGUGGCGUUGGCACAAGAGCAGGGUGGCUGGCGACUGAGGCUCAGGUCACCCAGGAGCUGAGAGGACUGAGUGGUGGCGAAGAGAGGCCAGAAACUGAGCCCCUGCUGAGCUUUGUGGCGUCUGUCUCCCCGGCUGACCGAAUGCUCACUGUGACCCCGCUCCAGGAUCCCCAAGGCCUGUUCCCUGAUCUCCAUCAUUUCCUACAGGUUUUCCUCCCUCAAGCACUUCGACAUCUCAAGUGAAGACAUGGCCCCUAAAGGGCAAUAAAGCUGCUAGUU
rnacentral:sRNA from 1 species